rnacentral:rRNA from 1 species
UACGUAGGGCGCAAGCGUUAUCCGGAAUUAUUGGGCGUAAAGAGCUCGUAGGCGGUCUGUUACGUCUGCUGUGAAAACCCAGGGCUUAACCCUGGGCUUGCAGUGGAUACGGGCAGACUAGAGGCAGGUAGGGGAGAAUGGAAUUCCCGGUGUAGCGGUGAAAUGCGCAGAUAUCGGGAGGAACACCGGUGGCGAAGGCGGUUCUCUGGGCCUGACCUGACGCUGAGGCGCGAAAGCCAGGGGAGCAAACGGG